rnacentral:rRNA from 1 species
CCUACUGGGCACCAACUGACGCUGAGGCUCGAAAGUGUGGGUAGCAAACAGGAUUAGAUACCCUGGUAGUCCACACUGUAAACGAUGAUUACUAGGUGUUGGAGGAUUGACCCCUUCAGUGCCGCAGUUAACACAAUAAGUAAUCCACCUGGGGAGUACGACCGCAAGGUUGAAACUCAAAGGAAUUGACGGGGGCCCGCACAAGCAGUGGAGUAUGUGGUUUAAUUCGACGCAACGCGAAGAACCUUACCAAGUCUUGACAUCCCUUGACGAUGCUGGAAACAGUAUUUCUCUUCGGAGCAAGGAGACAGGUGGUGCAUGGUUGUCGUCAGCUCGUGUCGUGAGAUGUUGGGUUAAGUCCCGCAACGAGCGCAACCCUUAUGGUCAGUUACUACGCAAGAGGACUCUGGCCAGACUGCCGUUGACAAAACGGAGGAAGGUGGGGAUGACGUCAAAUCAUCAUGCCCUUUAUGACUUGGGCUACACACGUACUACAAUGGCGUUAAACAAAGAGAAGCAAGACCGCGAGGUGGAGCAAAACUCAGAAACAACGUCCCAGUUCGGACUGCAGGCUGCAACUCGCCUGCACGAAGUCGGAAUUGCUAGUAAUCGCAGAUCAGCAUGCUGCGGUGAAUACGUUCCCGGGCCUUGUACACACCGCCCGUCACACCAUGAGAGCCGGGGGGACCCGAAGUCGGUAGUCUAACCGCAAGGAGGACGCCGCCGAAGGUAAAACUGGUGAUUGG